AUUGAACGCUGGCGGCAGGCCUAACACAUGCAAGUCGAGCGGAUGAAGGGAGCUUGCUCCUGGAUUCAGCGGCGGACGGGUGAGUAAUGCCUAGGAAUCUGCCUGGUAGUGGGGGAUAACGUCCGGAAACGGGCGCUAAUACCGCAUACGUCCUGAGGGAGAAAGGGGGGGAUCUUCGGACCUCACGCUAUCAGAUGAGCCUAGGUCGGAUUAGCUAGUUGGUGGGGUAAAGGCCUACCAAGGCGACGAUCCGUAACUGGUCUGAGAGGAUGAUCAGUCACACUGGAACUGAGACACGGUCCAGACUCCUACGGGAGGCAGCAGUGGGGAAUAUUGGACAAUGGGCGAAAGCCUGAUCCAGCCAUGCCGCGUGUGUGAAGAAGGUCUUCGGAUUGUAAAGCACUUUAAGUUGGGAGGAAAGGCAGUAAGUUAAUACCUUGCUGUUUUGACGUUACCAACAGAAUAAGCACCGGCUAACUUCGUG
rnacentral:rRNA from 1 species